CGUCUACCAUAUUGAUGAUAAGUUUUUUUUAGUUACCAUCUCUCAGGCGUUAUAAUAAUUGGUUUCGUUGAUGAGAGAAAAUAAAGCGAUAAAAUUCCUUUUAUUCCUGUAGCGAUUAUUUCGCAAGAGGGAUUUUACUUAUACAUACAAAAACACACGUCAGGAUAUUUAAUUGGCACAUAUAUAUGGACACAAGUGUACACGCAGAAUGAGAAAGAGAAUAAUGAAUGGUUUAUAAAGGAUGAUCCAUAGAAAAUUAAGGCUGCUCAUCUUCGGAUCCUUUGCAAGAGUUAUACUACCUCUUAUACCGUAUAAUACAAAAUACUACAACUCAACCGUUCGAAUAUUCUUUCGAAUAGACAGAGCCAUAUUAAUCUCGUUGAUCUGAAAAUUCAUUUUCUCUCUAUUUGUAUCUUUCUCGAUACUUUCGCCCGUAUAAUAAGAAAAAAUUAAUUUAUCUAAAAUAAAGUAAUAAAGUAAAUACGUCAAAAUGAAAAAGAUAUUAUUAAAAAAAAAAAGAAAUAUGAUGUAGAAUUUUCUCUGGAUCCAUAUUCUUUACUACUGCGAAAUAAAAAAGAAGAAAUGUAACAGGAAAAGGAGAUUAUAUUACGAGAAAAAGUUUUCAAAUAAUAAAUUUUUCUAGUGAGCAAUAUGGAAAGUCGUUAUUUACAAUGAAAUUUUUUGGAAAAUUUUACGAUGAGAUUUUUAAAUAAAUUAUAAAAUACCUGAUUUGUUGUAAAAUUUAUAUUUAAUAAUAUUUUUAAGUAGGAUCGAAAUGUUGCAAAGAAACAUUAAAUACUUCGUAUAUGUACAAACGUAUUAUUUCAUAGUGAUUAAUGUUAAUAAUUACAAUAAUAGUUAUAAUUGUAAUUAAUAUUACUAUAAUUAUUAAUUGUAAUAAUGUAAUUAUAUCAUAAAAAUUAUAUUUCUGUUAAUCUUGGACCGAUAAGGUAAAUACGGCAGUAUAUCUUCGAAGGUUUAAUUCUUAUCGCAACUAUUGUUUUGCAAAUAUAUUAUUAUAGAUAUUCAGCAUAGAUGAUCGGCUGGAAAAUUAGAUGUCGAUUGGGUUCGUGAAAUGUUCAAGCCCUUUGAUUUCAGUAAUCUUCAGCAAGGUUAAUAUCGAGCGUUACUGUAGGGGAAUAACACUACUACACUGCGUGCACUAUUGUACGUAAGACGUAACGUGAGUAAAGUGAUAAUAUUGGCCAAGAAGUUGCAGGAUCGACGAACGGUUUUAAUAUCACAGAAAACACAAAACGGAGGAAACAAAGACACGAUUUCUUGCAAAGUGUCUCAAUUAUUUUUAAUCAUUACAAUAGUAAAAUUUUCAAUAUUUUAGUAAAAGGCAAUUAUUGAAAGACAUGUAAAUCUUAGACAGAUGAGAUUGAUAAGACAGAAUAUCUCAAUUGGUUUGAUUCUCAUCGAAACUUUUGUUUUGCCAAUCAAACAGAAUCGGCGGGAACAAUAGAAGUCGAAGCGGUGCGUGAAAUAUUCAAACGCUUUGAAUUCAGCUAUGUAGAGAAUUCAAUUAGUAAAAUGUAUCAAUAAUAUUGGCGACGCUAAAUCGAAAAUAUAUAGGAGAAUGAUGGAUUUCUUUCCGUACGCUCCUUCCGUUUUCAUAAAAGAACUAGUUUUGAAUGUCAAAGGAAGCCAUGUACAACGAUUAUCAAAAUUGUUGAAAAGUUCUUUCAACGAAGCUUUUUACUACUACGUACUUGUUGAUAAUAUUGGUAUUAAAUAUCGGCAUUGGCCAAAAUUUCGUUGCAUGUACUGAGAAUCAAGAUCGAGCUCUCAUCGAUUAGUUGGAAUGCGAGCCGCGCGAGGGGUGAAUGGCUUGUAGCCAAGGACAACCCUCAUUCCAUGAAGCUACGAUUGAUGCUAAGGGUACUCUAAACAGGGGCAGUAAAAACGAUUGGAGAUAAAUUUGGCCCAUAUUUGAAACUAUAAACGUUUUCUCAAAACUUUGUUUUUGAAGUCGAUGGAUGCCAUAGUUGGAAAAUUGCUCGAUGGAUAUUUGUAAAAUUUACAUAAAAUUUUUUUAUUUUGCAUUAUAUCUGUAGAUAAAAGACUAGAUUAAUGGACGUAUUCUAUAAUAGACUAAUACAGCUUCCGUCUAUUAUGUAGAUAAUUUUAUAUAAUAAUUUUAGUACGGAAUAUUUUAAAGUUAUGUGAGAAACGUUAAUUUCAGGUUUAUGUUACAUUAUCAUGAUUAUUGAAUUAAAUUAAAUUAUGU